ACGGGUGAGUGACACGUGAGUAACCUGCCCUUGACUCUGGGAUAAGCGCUAGAAAUGGCGUCUAAUACCGGAUACGAGCUUCAGCCGCAUGGCUAGGAGUUGGAAAGAAUUUUGGUCAAGGAUGGACUCGCGGCCUAUCAGCUAGUUGGUGAGGUAAUGGCUCACCAAGGCGACGACGGGUAGCCGGCCUGAGAGGGUGACCGGCCACACUGGGACUGAGACACGGCCCAGACUCCUACGGGAGGCAGCAGUGGGGAAUAUUGCACAAUGGGCGAAAGCCUGAUGCAGCAACGCCGCGUGAGGGAUGACGGCCUUCGGGUUGUAAACCUCUUUUAGUAGGGAAGAAGCGAAAGUGACGGUACCUGCAGAAAAAGCACCGGCUAACUACGUGCCAGCAGCCGCGGUAAUACGUAGGGUGCAAGCGUUGUCCGGAAUUAUUGGGCGUAAAGAGCUCGUAGGCGGUCUGUCGCGUCUGCUGUGAAAUCUGGGGGCUCAACCCCCAGCCUGCAGUGGGUACGGGCAGACUAGAGUGCGGUAGGGGAGAUUGGAAUUCCUGGUGUAGCGGUGGAAUGCGCAGA
rnacentral:rRNA from 1 species